ensembl:lncRNA
GUGGGACUGAGCCAGACGGAGUGCCUAAAGCAUCGCCGGGUUUCUGCUCUUUUUUGAUUGCUAAAUGACUCCACGGCAGUCCUGAGCAAGGGGGCCCCAAACCACUGCCUCUUCGGCUUGUUUCAAAAGAUAAUGCCACCUGAUUCCUGCUUGCAGAGAGACCUGCAAAAUAUUUCGCUUAAGCCAUUCAACCGUUUGAUAGUUGAACGAAGAGCAAAAAGGCGUUUUUGAAAAUGUGCAUAAAGUAGCAUGGAAGCUACUCUUUUCCACAUGAGAUUCCUGGAAGAAUCAGCUUAACAAGCCUCAGACUGACCGUAAACAGCAGGAGACAAAGGCAUUUAUUCCAGAACUACAGAUGAAUCCAAAAUUAUAAAUCCCCCGAAGAGAGAUAACAACACCAUGACUUAAAUUCAUACCAGGUUCCAUGUGACUGAUAGCAGAUACUUUCCUGUGAUUAAUGGGGGAGAGCAGAAGCGAGAACACAAGGGAAAUGUGGGAACCUGGGCUGGGAACAGGGUCCACAGAGGAAGGAAAACGAUUUUGAAGUUAGAGGUAAAUUUGAAGACAAGUUUCAACCACCCAAUUUUUCCUUCAUACUAGAUCCUGCAAAAAGAGACUUGAUUUACAG